rnacentral:sRNA from 1 species
GCAUCUUGCUGUGCGCACCGCCCGCGCGCCCCGCGCCGUCAGCACCCCCAGCACCGCCAGCGCCCCCGGAGUCCACUGUGCGCCCUGCGCCCCCAACGCGCCCCGGGGAAAGUUCCUACUCGUCAAUUUCACACGUAAUUUACAAUAACCACCCGGAUUCCUCCGCGUCGCCUAGGAAACGACAGGGCGAAGCGACUGCCGCCUCCUCUGAGAUCAAAGCCCUGCAGCAGACCCGGAGGCUCCUGGCGAACGCCAGGGAGCGGACGCGGGUGCACACCAUCAGCGCAGCCUUCGAGGCGCUCAGGAAGCAGGUGCCGUGCUACUCGUAUGGGCAGAAGCUGUCCAAACUGGCCAUCCUGAGGAUCGCCUGUAACUACAUCCUGUCCCUGGCGCGGCUGGCUGACCUCGACUACAGUGCCGACCACAGCAACCUCAGCUUCUCUGAGUGUGUGCAGCGCUGCACCCGCACCCUGCAGGCUGAGGGACGUGCCAAGAAGCGCAAGAGCCUCAUCGUCACUCAGGAUACAACAGCGCGAGCAGCUGGUUUGGAGGCAGCAGGGAAAACCGUGCAAAAGGUUCUUUGUGAGAGAGGAAACUCGCUUAUGAAUAACAGGACUGGACGCCAUAAAAGUUGGCGGCUGGAAUUCUUGUUUCUCAGGCGCCGCUGUUUUCUCUUGACUUUUUAUCUCUGGUUUUUAUUUUUUUCUCGUUUUCUUUUAAUGUUGUUUCUUCCUCUUCUCACAUCAGUUGUGACUUUUCUUCCUCCUCUGCGAGCCCGAAGGCCACCUCGUUAGUGCUCCUGACACUGCGGAACUUUUCUUUCUCAAGGCUGUUGUCACUGGGGAUGGUUGGAAGUGACUAUUUUCCUAAGAAAACAGCUGGAGGGGACAUGGGAGCAAGAAGGUGCUUGGGAGGGCAUGUCAGUGUUGAGGCUUAAAACAGGGAGUGCCAUGGCAGAGUCAUUCCGCCGUCACCCUGAAUAAACCCCAUGCGCACAGAUGAGAACAAUGUCUCCUCAGAGGGAGGGUCUGGGAGACCGGACACCAUGCAGAGACCCCCAUCAGCUCAUCAGAGAGCUUCACGGAGAUGUUCUGGGAGGACAGUCACAUUCAUAAAUACCCUGGUGCCUCGGCCCUGCCGCUGACUGCAGCAUGACAUGAAGCCUUUUUUAAGAACUGGCUGCUGCCGCCAAAACCUUCUGGGAGAUGUCUACCUGGAACCUGGGCACCUCCUGGGAGCAAUCACUGGGUGGCCUGUCAGGGGCUGUGGGGUCCUGGGCAGGGCCGGCAACUGGAAGCCAGCCCUGGGGAGGAAAGGAGAGAAGGGCAAGGCUAGGCUGCUUUCCUCACAGCCCCUGGACCCUGAGGGAGGAGCUGAGUCGGGCCUGGGGCUGCCAUGUGUCAGACAGUGGUGAUGUGAUGGGGGGACACAGGUCAGGGGCAGGGUACUGGGAGUUUCCCCUUUCCUUUCUCAGUUCUUUGCACCCAUUUUCCACGAGCUGCCUUCUCAGAUCCAGAAGCCCCAGCAGCCCCUCACCCCAGCAGUGGAAAAAGCCCAUCAUUGACACGGCUGUGGGUGGCCAGCUUUGAAAAAGCCUCACAUUUGGGGCUUUGGAGGGCGUUUUGCAUUUCAUCUUUACACAGGCUCCUGAACCUCAUUCCUCUUGCCCUCCUCUCGGCUUUCCUCCCACUUCCAGUUAGAGAGAUGGCAGCUCUGGCAGGACCGAAUAUUGAUGUUUAUCACAGUUUUAGGGCCAUUCAUCUCACCAACUGAAGGGCUCGGCGCAGACCCACGGGAUCCUCUCUCCUUGAGUGACCUCUGGGGGCAGGUAUCUGGUUUGGAUGCUGGAGCUGGUCCCUACUCUGCCCUUGGGGGCUGUGCGGCCGGGUGCUCAAGUGUUUUAACCUCAGGACCCUGAUUAGUUAUGAAGCUACCCCACCAGCUCCUGGGUCUGUUCACAGAUCAGUGGCAUAAAGGACAUAAUAUUGUUUUGCAAAAUUUGCUCUCCCUCCCGUGUCUCCUGCCCAAGAAGUUGGUCUUCAUGGGGCCAAAGGCAAGGAGGACCUGAGGAAGGAAGAGGAAUCACUGUCCCCAGCACCUGGUAUGGCAUGAAGUCAGCCUAGUGACCAGAAAUUGCUUUUGAACUCUGAGGCUUCCAGAGGACAAGAGGAAGAGGAGGACAGGGCUGCCCUGCCCACUGCUCAGCCUUGAGCCCUGCACCUGGCACAGUGCGCGGCCUCAGAGGCUGUAAGCAGGCCCUGGCUCCCCACACCCCGUCCUUAAACAGGCCGUGCCCUUUCUACCUGCCCCAGCAGACCAGAAAGCAGCUUUCAUGGGAAACAACAAACCUUCCUUGUGCUCUCAGGAUAAGUGUUUCUAGAGGGCAAAGUCGGGAGCCAUUCUCUCCUUUAACACCUUGCCACCUCUGCCCACAAUUCACAGCUACCGGGGCCUGUCUUAGCUGCCCUGGCUGUCAGCCCCACCAGAGCCCCUCCUGGCUGCUCUGCUGAAAGCUGGUCAGACUGCCUCACUCCAUCCCCUACUUAGCUCCCUAAGGCCUAGGGGGCUCCCUACAGGCCAAGGGAUGAGGCCAGACUCAAUAGGACACCUGAUGGGCCCCCCAAGUGACCUGGCCCUGGCCGGUCACUCCCUAUGUCCCAAUUUACACCCCAGCAGCACAGAACUCCUCGCCCAAAGGGGCUAUUUUUGGCCUCUGUGCUCAUGCCAUCCCUUCUGCCUGGAAUGCCUUUCUCCGCUGUCUGUCUGGCUAACUCCUGCUCAUUCUGGAAGGCUCAGCUCCUCCUGAAAGCCCUCCCUGACCCCAACCCCAGCUUCUUCCUCAGGGCGUCAUAGCACAGGGAUGCUUUUGGUCUAAUUCAGGAGAGCAUCAUGUGGUAUGCUUUUAAAGUAAUGACUUAAAAUGUUAGACAAUAUGAAACUCUAUUAUGUGAUAUAUUAGAUUUCGUGUCAUUACAUUGCAUUGUAUUAUAUUUUUAGGUGGUAUGCUAUGUGACACAGGAUGCGAUGUGAUAUUACAUCCCAUGACACUAUGUUACACAGUGUUGGAUUAAAUGCCUGUGUCUCUGGCUAGA